rnacentral:rRNA from 1 species
GAUGAACGCUGGCGGCGUGCCUAAUACAUGCAAGUCGAGCGAACAGAUGAGGAGCUUGCUCCUCUGACGUUAGCGGCGGACGGGUGAGUAACACGUGGAUAACCUACCUAUAAGACUGGGAUAACUUCGGGAAACCGGAGCUAAUACCGGAUAAUAUAUUGAACCGCAUGGUUCAAUAGUGAAAGACGGUUUUGCUGUCACUUAUAGAUGGAUCCGCGCCGCAUUAGCUAGUUGGUAAGGUAACGGCUUACCAAGGCAACGAUGGGUAGCCGACCUGAGAGGGUGAUCGGCCACACUGGAACUGAGACACGGUCCAGACUCCUACGGGAGGCAGCAGUAGGGAAUCUUCCGCAAUGGGCGAAAGCCUGACGGAGCAACGCCGCGUGAGUGAUGAAGGUCUUCGGAUCGUAAAACUCUGUUAUUAGGGAAGAACAAAUGUGUAAGUAACUAUGCACGUCUUGACGGUACCUAAUCAGAAAGCCACGGCUAACUACGUG